rnacentral:rRNA from 1 species
UACGAAGGGGGCUAGCGUUGCUCGGAAUCACUGGGCGUAAAGGGCGCGUAGGCGGCCAUUUAAGUCGGGGGUGAAAGCCUGUGGCUCAACCACAGAAUUGCCUUCGAUACUGGAUGGCUUGAGACCGGAAGAGGUAAGUGGAACUGCGAGUGUAGAGGUGAAAUUCGUAGAUAUUCGCAAGAACACCAGUGGCGAAGGCGGCUUACUGGUCCGGAUCUGACGCUGAGGCGGCGAAAAGCGUGGGGAGCCAAACAGG